rnacentral:rRNA from 1 species
AGUGAACGCUGGCGGUAGGCCUAACACAUGCAAGUCGAACGGCAGCACAGUAAGAGCUUGCUCUUACGGGUGGCGAGUGGCGGACGGGUGAGGAAUACAUCGGAAUCUACUUUUUCGUGGGGGAUAACGUAGGGAAACUUACGCUAAUACCGCAUACGACCUACGGGUGAAAGCAGGGGAUCUUCGGACCUUGCGCGAUUCAAUGAGCCGAUGUCGGAUUAGCUAGUUGGCGGGGUAAAGGCCCACCAAGGCGACGAUACGUAGCUGGUCUGAGAGGAUGAUCAGCCACACUGGAACUGAGACACGGUCCAGACUCCUACGGGAGGCAGCAGUGGGGAAUAUUGGACAAUGGGCGCAAGCCUGAUCCAGCCAUACCGCGUGGGUGAAGAAGGCCUUCGGGUUGUAAAGCCCUUUUGUUAGGAAAGAAAAGCAGCAGGUUAAUACCCCGCUGUUCUGACGGUACCCAAAGAAUAAGCACCGGCUAACUUCGUG